rnacentral:rRNA from 1 species
GAUGAACGCUGGCGGCGUGCCUAAUACAUGCAAGUCGAGCGAACAGAUGAGGAGCUUGCUCCUCUGACGUUAGCGGCGGACGGGUGAGUAACACGUGGAUAACCUACCUAUAAGACUGGGAUAACUUCGGGAAACCGGAGCUAAUACCGGAUAAUAUAUUGAACCGCAUGGUUCAAUAGUGAAAUACGGUUUUUCUGUCACUUAUAGAUGGAUCCGCGCCGCAUUAGCUAGUUGGUAAGGUAACGGCUUACCAAGGCAACGAUGCGUAGCCGACCUGAGAGGGUGAUCGGCCACACUGGAACGGAGACACGGUCCAGACUCCUACGGGAGGCAGCAGUAGGGAAUCUUCCGCAAUGGGCGAAAGCCUGACGGAGCAACGCCGCGUGAGUGAUGAAGGUCUUCGGAUCGUAAAACUCUGUUAUUAGGGAAGAACAAAUGUGUAAGUACCUAUGCACGUCUUGACGGUACCUAGUCAGAAAGCCACGGCUAACUACGUG